rnacentral:lncRNA from 1 species
CGCUGGGGAAGGCCAGAAUAAGGGACCUGGCAGGACCUCCCAUCCCCGGGACCCCUCCCCAUGACCACUUCCCUCACCUGGACUGAGGCGAUAGCCGCGGAAGGUCCAGUUGAAGGCCUCGGGGGCGGGGUUAGCGGACACGGACACGGGCAGCAACGCCUCGCCCUGCUCCACCGCGGUCACCACCAGCACCUGCUCCCCCAGGAACUCUGGACGGUCUUCAGAGGGGGCGCCGCAGGGAGUCAAGAUUGUUGUUAAGGACAAGUUGACCGGCGGAUUGCUGCUGACGCUGACGCAUGUCAAGUUUAAGGCGUCUCCCGGGCGCAGUGCGGAUGCGUUGGCCAGGAUCGUCACGUUAGUUGGGGGAACUGGGAGACGGGGUUGGAGGAGCGAGACUCAGAGGUUAGGGGCGGCCUGGUCUGCGUCCACCCCGCCUGCACCCCAGGCUCCGCCCAGUCUCGGGUCCCCCACCCCGCCUCCGCCCGCUUUCCCCGGGUCCAGGGUUCGCUGGGUCCCUGCCCCACCUGGCUCUG